GCUAUCGUGGCCGAGUGGUCUAAGGCGGUAGAUUUAAGCUCUACUGGGGCGACCCGCGUGCGUUCGAACCGCACCGAUAGCA
rnacentral:tRNA from 1 species